rnacentral:rRNA from 1 species
CGGAACGGCUGAGUAACACGUGGGCAACCUGCCCUCCUCUUGGGGAUAGCCUCGGGAAACCGAGGAUAAUACCCGAUACUUCACUUGAGCCGCAUGACUCAAGUGAGAAAGCUUUUGCGGAGAAGGAUGGGCCCGCGGCCUGUUAGCUUGUUGGUGGGGUAGAGGCCUACCAAGGCAAUGAUGGGUAGCUGGGUUGAGAGACCGACCAGCCAGAUUGGGACUGAGACACGGCCCAG